GUCGGACAGCUAUCAGACCCAAGGACAAGCAAAUAAAAGUGGCCUGUACACUUUAUCAAGUGCUCCCUUUCUGCAAUCACAAACAACAUCACAUCAGAGCCCGGGACACACAGAAUGAGCUUCACCACUAACUGAAACUGGAUCACUGGGAGAGACGACGCGUGUGUGUGUGUUAGUGUUUUAUAAAGUGUCUUUUUCAGUGCUCUCACUAUUCUUACAGCACGAAGGGUCAUGUGGAUCAGCCAUCUUUACUGAACAGAGUCUGUGAUUCCUGAUCGAAGGCAUAACGGAUCAUUCAGAAGAGACCAUCUGCACGGUUCCCGCCACUAUCCACUCAACUGACAGACGUGUAAACGCAACGAUAAUCGCUAACAUUCACACAUGACCAGAGCGAGAGCCAGCUGCUGAACGAAAGACAAGAGAGGGACAAAGUUUAGAUAAAGGUCCAGCUAUCACAGGUGAAAAAAAUAUACUACUAUUUCCUUCUUCACUAUUAGCAAAAACAAGGCUAUGUCACUCUCUCUCCUGUCUUUCUGUCAGUCUCGUCCUCCGGAGCUGUGGAGUGUGACAAUGGUGUUUGUAUCCUGUGUUGUCAAACGCCAUUAUCACACUAAAUAGCCACGGUGAGACCUCACAACCACCUCGGCCAAUCAGCACAGAGAAACACAAUAAUGAUGAUGCACUCUAUAGUGGGAAUGCGAAACGCCCUUGUGUCUUUAAGUGUGAGUUGCCAGGUUGAUAAUUUGGCAUCUUCCAAAAAUAGAUGUAAGAGCUCAUGCCUGGCAUAUGUGUGCUAUGACCCAGCUGCCAGACAGUAUGCAUGUCAUGUUACACACUUUCUUCAUAUUUUGUACAGUAUUAGUAUCAUAUCACGACAAUAAAAAACGUGGAAGUUU